rnacentral:rRNA from 1 species
GACGAACGCUGGCGGCGUGCUUAACACAUGCAAGUCGAACGGACAGGCCCUGCUUUUGUGGGGUGCUCGAGUGGCGAACGGGUGAGUAACACGUGAGUAACCUGCCCUUGACUUUGGGAUAACUUCAGGAAACUGGGGCUCAUACCGGAUAGGAGCUCCUGCUGCAUGGUGGGGGUUGGAAAGUUUCGGCGGUUGGGGAUGGACUCGCGGCUUAUCAGCUUGUUGGUGGGGUAGUGGCUUACCAAGGCUUUGACGGGUAGCCGGCCUGGGAGGGUGACCGGCGACAUUGGGACUGAGAUACGGCGCAGACUGCUACGGGAGGCAGCAGUGGGGAAUAUUGCACAGUGGGCGGAAGCCUGAUGCAGAAACGCCGCGUGCGGGAUGACGGCCUUCGGGUUGUAAACCGCUGUCGCAUGUGACGAAGCGUGAGUGACGGUAAUGGGUAAAGAAGCACCGGCUAACUACGUG